GAUGAACGCUGGCGGCGUGCCUAAUACAUGCAAGUCGAGCGGACGGACGAGAAGCUUGCUUCUCUGAUGUUAGCGGCGGACGGGUGAGUAACACGUGGAUAACCUACCUAUAAGACUGGGAUAACCUCGGGAAACCGGAGCUAAUACCGGAUAAUAUUUUGAACCGCAUGGUUCAAAAGUGAAAGACGGCCUUGCUGUCACUUAUAGAUGGAUCCGCGCUGCAUUAGCUAGUUGUUAAGGUAACGGCUUACCAAGGCAACGAUGCAUAGCCGACCGGAGAGGGUGAUCGGCCACACUGGAACUGAGACACGGUCCAGACUCCUACGGGAGGCAGCAGUAGGGAAUCUUCCGCAAAGGGCGAAAGCCUGACGGAGCAGCGCCGCGUGAGUGAUGAAGGUCUUCGGAUCGUAAAACCCUGUUAUUAGGGAAGAACAUAUGUGUAAGUAACUGUGCACAUCUUGACGGUACCUAAUCAGAAAGCCACGGCUAACUACGUG
rnacentral:rRNA from 1 species